rnacentral:tRNA from 1 species
GUCGUCUUAGUUUAAUGGCAGAACAACAUUCUUCUAAAGUGUAAAUUUUGGUUCAAUUCCAAAAGAUGAUA